AGUAUCAUCAAAACUAAAUACACUAUACUAAAACUGGAAUGAUACAGAGAAGAUUAGCAUGGCCCCUGCACAAGGAUGACACGCAAAUUCGUGAAGCGUUUCAUAUUUUU
ensembl:snRNA U6 U6 spliceosomal RNA